rnacentral:rRNA from 1 species
GUUAACUCCCAACCCCUGUGACAUACCAAUUGUUGCCUCGGCGGAUCAGCCCGCUCCCGGUAAAACGGGACGGCCCGCCAGAGGACCCCUAAACUCUGUUUCUAUAUGUAACUUCUGAGUAAAACCAUAAAUAAAUCAAAACUUUCAACAACGGAUCUCUUGGUUCUGGCAUCGAUGAAGAACGCAGCAAAAUGCGAUAAGUAAUGUGAAUUGCAGAAUUCAGUGAAUCAUCGAAUCUUUGAACGCACAUUGCGCCCGCCAGUAUUCUGGCGGGCAUGCCUGUUCGAGCGUCAUUUCAACCCUCAAGCCCAGCUUGGUGUUGGGACUCGCGAGUCAAAUCGCGUUCCCCAAAUUGAUUGGCGGUCACGUCGAGCUUCCAUAGCGUAGUAGUAAAACCCUCGUUACUGGUAAUCGUCGCGGCCACGCCGUUAAACCCCAACUUCUGAAUGUUGACCUCGGAUCAGGUAGGAAUACCCGCUGAACUUAAGCAUAUCAAUAGC